CAGUAGCCACGGUAAUACGUAGGGUGCAAGCGUUAAUCGGAUUUAUUGGGCGUAAAGGGAGCGCAGGCGGUUUAGUAAGUCUGAAGUUAAAGGCAUUGGCUCAACCAAUGUAUGCUUUGGAAACUGUUAGACUUGAGUGCAGAAGGGGAUAGUGGAAUUCCAUGUGUAGCGGUGAAAUGCGUAGAUAUAUGGAGGAACACCGGUGGCGAAAGCGGCUCUCUGGUCUGUCACUGACGCUGAGGCUCGAAAGCGUGGGUAGCGAACAGGAUUAGAGACCCCUGUAGUCCCUGUCUCUUAUACA
rnacentral:rRNA from 1 species